rnacentral:rRNA from 1 species
UACGUAGGGUGCAAGCGUUGUCCGGAAUUAUUGGGCGUAAAGAGCUCGUAGGCGGUUUGUCGCGUCGAAUGUGAAAACCCGGGGCUCAACCCCGGGCCUGCAUUCGAUACGGGCAGACUAGAGUUCGGUAGGGGAGUCUGGAAUUCCUGGUGUAGCGGUGAAAUGCGCAGAUAUCAGGAGGAACACCGGUGGCGAAGGCGGGACUCUGGGCCGACACUGACGCUGAGGAGCGAAGCGUGGGGAGCAAACAGG